UACGAAGGGGGCUAGCGUUGCUCGGAAUCACUGGGCGUAAAGGGUGCGUAGGCGGGUCUUUUAAGUCAGAGGUGAAAUCCUGGAGCUCAACUCCAGAACUGCCUUUGAUACUGAGGAUCUUGAGUUCGGGAGAGGUGAGUGGAACUGCGAGUGUAGAGGUGAAAUUCGUAGAUAUUCGCAAGAACACCAGUGGCGAAGGCGGCUCACUGGCC
rnacentral:rRNA from 1 species